GACGAACGCUGGCGGCGUGCCUAAUACAUGCAAGUCGAGCGGACUUGAACAGAGCUUGCUCUGUUCAAGUUAGCGGCGGACGGGUGAGUAACACGUGGGCAACCUGCCCUGCAGAUUGGGAUAACUCCGGGAAACCGGGGCUAAUACCGAAUAACAUGGAAAACCUCAUGGUUUUCUUUUAAAAGGCGGCUUCGGCUGUCACUGCAGGAUGGGCCCGCGGCGCAUUAGCUAGUUGGUGAGGUAACGGCUCACCAAGGCGACGAUGCGUAGCCGACCUGAGAGGGGGAUCGGCCACACUGGGACUGAGACACGGCCCAGACUCCUACGGGAGGCAGCAGUAGGGAAUCUUCCGCAAUGGACGAAAGUCUGACGGAGCAACGCCGCGUGAGUGAAGAAGGUUUUCGGAUCGUAAAACUCUGUUGUUAGGGAAGAACAAGUAUCGGAGUAACUGCCGGUACCUUGACGGUACCUGACCAGAAAGCCACGGCUAACUACGUGCCAGCCGCCGCCGUAA
rnacentral:rRNA from 1 species